rnacentral:rRNA from 1 species
AUGAACGCUGGCGGCGUGCCUAAUACAUGCAAGUCGAGCGAACAGACGAGGAGCUUGCUCCUCUGACGUUAGCGGCGGACGGGUGAGUAACACGUGGAUAACCUACCUAUAAGACUGGGAUAACUUCGGGAAACCGGAGCUAAUACCGGAUAAUAUAUUGAACCGCAUGGUUCAAUAGUGAAAGACGGUUUUGCUGUCACUUAUAGAUGGAUCCGCGCCGCAUUAGCUGGUUGGUAAGGUAACGGCUUACCAAGGCGACGAUGCGUAGCCGACCUGAGAGGGUGAUCGGCCACACUGGAACUGAGACACGGUCCAGACUCCUACGGGAGGCAGCAGUAGGGAAUCUUCCGCAAUGGGCGAAAGCCUGACGGAGCAACGCCGCGUGAGUGAUGAAGGUCUUCGGAUCGUAAAACUCUGUUAUUAGGGAAGAACAAAUGUGUAAGUAACUAUGCACGUCUUGACGGUACCUAAUCAGAAAGCCACGGCUAACUACGUG